CUGGGAAAGAUGUCAGGCUAGGAGGCAAGUGUGAAUCUAAGUGAAGACGAGAGGGAGAGAAUGUUGGGUGGAACUGUCCUAGACUGUCAUGCAGUCUAAGGAAGCUUCAACAAAGCCAGCAGGGAUUCCUUGAGUUUACAUUGCCAAAAGAGGAGUUUAAUGUCUCCCAGAAAUGAAUCUGCUUUUGUAGCCCUGCCACGCUCAGUCCUUGACAAGGGAGCAGUCUUGUCCAAGUAAGGUGUGGCCCCAGCCAAAAUAAAGCAAUGUAUCUCAAAGCAUAGCAUCUGGGGCACUGGUUGCACUCCUUAUAAUGGGAGCUCUGCAAGCCACAAUUUUAUGGCUACCAUAGAAAGUCAAUGUAAGUUCAAUCAAAAUCCUAUGUGGAAUUUUUUUUUUUAAUUGACAAGCUAAUUCAGAAAUGUAAACAGAAAAGUAAAGGACCUAGCAUACCUAAAACAAUUCAGAAAAGGAACAAAGCUGAAGGACUUAGACAACCUAAUUUGAAGACUACAGCAAUCACAUAUUCAUGCCUGUAAUACCAACACUUUGGGAGGCUGAGGCAGACAGAUCACUUGAGCUCAAGAGAUUAAGAGCAGCCUGGGCAACAUGGUGAAACCUCCUCUCUAAAAAAAAGUUAAAAAAAAAAUUAGCUGGUACACACCUGUAGUCCCAGCUACUUGGGAGGCUGAGGUGGAAGGAUCACUUGAGCCCAGGAGGCAGAGUUUGCAGUGAGCCGAGAUUGCACCACUUGUUUAAGAUUGUCUAGCACCUCCCCCAUCUCUAUCCUCCUCCUGCUCCCGCCAUGUGAACUACUUGCUCCCCCUUCACUUUCCACCAUGAUUGUAAGUUUCCUGGGGCCUCCCCAGAAGCAGAAGCUGCUAUGCUUCUUGUACAGCCUGCAGAACCAUGAGCCAAUUAAAUCUCUUUUCUUUAUAAAUUACCCAGUUUCAAGUAUUUCUUUAGAAUAGUGCGGGAACUGACUAAUACACCUCUCUUUGUUUAAAGGGGAUGCCAGGAUUACAGCAAUGUUAGGACCCUCAGAACUCAAGUGCAAAUUUCUCCUUGAUUAAUUAAAAGGAUUGAAAGAUAAUUGAAAUGUCUAGCUGCACACUGAGUAGUGUAGUGUCAUUUCACACACAGUCGUUCCAUAAUCAUGUUCCUACUCCUCUUCUACAAAAGCUGACCAAUAAGGAGUUCCAACCCAUCAGGAGACUAAAACUAUCUGAUAAGCUCAUUUAAAUGGAAGUAUAGAGCCCAAGAGGAUGGUAACUAUUAAAAAAAAUGCUGGGGCUUCUUAUAUGUUAGUUUUGUAUCAUUCCUGCCUCAAUUUUUUUCCCCUGUGGUUAACAACACG
rnacentral:lncRNA from 1 species